AUUAAGACUCUCGGCAACGGAUAUCUCGGCUCUUACAUCGAUGAAGAACGUAGCGAAAUGCGAUACUUGGUGUGAAUUGCAGAAUCCCGUGAACCAUCGAGUCUUUGAACGCAAGUUGCGCCCGAGGCCUUCGGGUCGAGGGCACGCCUGCCUGGGCGCCACGC
rnacentral:rRNA from 1 species